GUGCCUGUGGCUCAAAGGAGUAGGGCACUGGCUUCAUAUGCCAGAGGUGGCAGGUUCAAACCUGACCCUGGCCA
rnacentral:tRNA from 1 species